UACAGAGGGUGCGAGCGUUGUCCGGAAUCACUGGGCGUAAAGGGCGCGUAGGUGGCGGCAUAAGGCCGUGGUGAAAGUCUGGGGCUCAACCCCAGAUCGGCCGCGGCGACUGUGUCGCUAGGGCACCGUAGAGGCAGAUGGAAUUCCCGGUGGAGCGGUGAAAUGCGUAGAGAUCGGGAAGAACGCCGGCGGCGAAAGCGACUCUCUGGUCGGAAUCUGACGCUGAGGUGCGAAAGCUAGGGGAGCAAACGGG
rnacentral:rRNA from 1 species